GAGGGUAUAGCUCAGUGUCAGAGUGUGUGCUUAGCAUGCAUGAGGUGCUGGGUUCCAUCCCUAGUAGUGUUA
rnacentral:tRNA from 1 species